rnacentral:rRNA from 1 species
UACGUAGGGCGCAAGCGUUAUCCGGAAUUAUUGGGCGUAAAGAGCUCGUAGGCGGUUUGUCGCGUCUGCCGUGAAAGUCCGGGGCUCAACUCCGGAUCUGCGGUGGGUACGGGCAGACUAGAGUGAUGUAGGGGAGACUGGAAUUCCUGGUGUAGCGGUGAAAUGCGCAGAUAUCAGGAGGAACACCGAUGGCGAAGGCAGGUCUCUGGGCAUUAACUGACGCUGAGAAGCGAAAGCAUGGGGGAGCGAACAGG